rnacentral:rRNA from 1 species
UACAGAGGUCUCAAGCGUUGUUCGGAUUCAUUGGGCGUAAAGGGUGCGUAGGUGGCGGGGUUAGUCAGGUGUGAAAUCUCGGGGCUCAACCCCGAAACUGCACUUGAUACUGUCUUGCUAGAGUACUGGAGAGGAGAUUGGAAUUUACGGUGUAGCAGUGGAAUGCGUAGAUAUCGUAAGGAAGACCAGUGGCGAAGGCGAAUCUCUGGACAGUUACUGACACUGAGGCACGAAGGCCAGGGGAGCAAACGGG